rnacentral:rRNA from 1 species
UGCAAGUCGAACGGUGAACACGGAGCUUGCUCUGUGGGAUCAGUGGCGAACGGGUGAGUAACACGUGAGCAACCUGCCCCAGACUCUGGGAUAAGCACUGGAAACGGUGUCUAAUACCGGAUACGAGUAGCGAAGGCAUCUUCAGCUACUGGAAAGAACUUCGGUCUGGGAUGGGCUCGCGGCCUAUCAGCUUGUUGGUGAGGUAAUGGCUCACCAAGGCGUCGACGGGUAGCCGGCCUGAGAGGGUGACCGGCCACACUGGGACUGAGACACGGCCCAGACUCCUACGGGAGGCAGCAGUGGGGAAUAUUGCACAAUGGGCGAAAGCCUGAUGCAGCAACGCCGCGUGAGGGACGACGGCCUUCGGGUUGUAAACCUCUUUUAGCAGGGAAGAAGCGAAAGUGACGGUACCUGCAGAAAAAGCACCGGCUAACUACGUGCCAGCAGCCGCGGUAAUACGUAGGGUGCAAGCGUUAUCCGGAAUUAUUGGGCGUAAAGAGCUCGUAGGCGGUUUGUCGCGUCUGCUGUGAAAACCCGAGGCUCAACCUCGGGCCUGCAGUGGGUACGGGCAGACUAGAGUGCGGUAGGGGAGAUUGGAAUUCCUGGUGUAGCGGUGGAAUGCGCAGAUAUCAGGAGGAACACCGAUGGCGAAGGCAGAUCUCUGGGCCGUAACUGACGCUGAGGAGCGAAAGGGUGGGGAGCAAACAGGCUUAGAUACCCUGGUAGUCCACCCCGUAAACGUUGGGAACUAGUUGUGGGGUCCAUUCCACGGAUUCCGUG